UGGGGAAUUUUGGACAAUGGGCGCAAGCCUGAUCCAGCAAUGCCGCGUGCAGGAUGAAGGCCUUCGGGUUGUAAACCGCUUUUGUCAGGGAAGAAACGAGUUUCUCUAAUACAGAGACUUAAUGACGGUACCUGAAGAAUAAGCACCGGCUAACUACGUGCCAGCAGCCGCGGUAAUACGUAGGGUGCGAGCGUUAAUCGGAAUUACUGGGCGUAAAGCGUGCGCAGGCGGUUAUAUAAGACAGAUGUGAAAUCCCCGGGCUCAACCUGGGAACUGCAUUUGUGACUGUAUAGCUAGAGUACGGUAGAGGGGGAUGGAAUUCCGCGUGUAGCAGUGAAAUGCGUAGAUAUGCGGAGGAACACCGAUGGCGAAGGCAAUCCCCUGGACCUGUACUGACGCUCAUGCACGAAAGCGUGGGGAGCAAACA
rnacentral:rRNA from 1 species